rnacentral:miRNA from 1 species
ACAAGCUUUCGGGAGAACCUCCCUUUCUCAAGUCUGAAGCAUUUCGAGAAAGGGAGGUUCUCCCGAAAGCUUG